rnacentral:tRNA from 1 species
GCAAAGGUAGGUUAAUUAAAUCAGAGGACUCAUAACCCUCAGUUGCCUAAUAGAAGGCUCUUUGCA